GCAAGUCGAACGAGAAAGCAACUUCGGUUGUGAUUAAAGUGGCGAACGGGUGAGUAACGCGUAGGUAAUCUGCCCUAAAGUCGGGGAUAAACACUGGAAACGGUGCCUAAUACCGGAUGUGAACUUCUACUACAUGGUGGAAAGUUUAAAGUAUUUUUAUGCUUUAGGAUGAGCCUGCGUCGCAUUAGCUAGUUGGUAAGGUAAAGGCUUACCAAGGCGACGAUGCGUAGCGGAUUUGAGAGAGUGAUC
rnacentral:rRNA from 1 species